AUUCCCUGCUGAAGCUCCUCUCUCUCGCGAUUCCAGAUCUGGAUCUGGAUUAGGGUUUUCCUCCAAGGCGAUUCAAGCCUGCUACUCAGAAGGAUCUUACAUCUGGCCCAUUCCCUUCUCUCUCACAACUCACACAUCUCACAAAACUUCAUCAACCUUCUCUCUCUCAGCGACUCAUGAACAGAUCUGUGAGGAUUUCACCAGAUCUAGGGUGUUACUUUCAUUCGAUUUCAAAUCCAUGACCCCAUCCUGUGAAGGUGUUGUGUGCAGAUGGUUGAAGAUGUAUCCCUAGCCUUCACAUCUGGUGAAGACGGUGGUUUUCCCUAAGAUGGUUGAAGAUGGAUUCCCAAGCCCUAACCAUGUCACAAUCAGUGCUCGUUGAUCAUGCCGAUUUGGACUUUUUAUUCGCACUUUUGGGCAUCUAGAUCCAGAGUACUCCAUGACCGGGCACUUAACUAGGAAAUCAGAUGUUUAUACAGCUCCAGAAAAAAGCGCCCCACAAUGGUUGAUGUUGUGGUUACUCUUCAGCAAUCAUUGGCAUUGCAGGAGCAAUUUGACAGUUCUGCGCAUGCUGCAGGUUCAACGGGGUUCACCGUUAAAAUGCAGUAUCUACUUUUCGGGCCUAGAUAUAACUCUGGGGACCCUGACACACUGUCAUCCACCCAUAAAGGGCGUAUCGAGCAUUCGUUUAGAAUGUUUUCAUACAGAGAUAUGGAACAUGCCACUAGAAAUUUCAGCAGUCACAUGUUGUUGGGUCGCGGACAUUAUGGAGAGGUAUAUAGAGGUUGGCUUGAUAAGAAGACUGUUUCCCCUUCAACGUCUGAUAAUGGACUAAUCAUUGCUGUUAAAAGACUUGAUACAUACAAGUUAAAACCUCAUAUGGUAAAGGAGGUAAACCAUUACUCCUUCAAAACUGACAGAUACCCGUAUGAAGAAGCUGCAACCGUGGCCAUAUCCACAAUCAAAGAGCAUUGCAAUGCCAUUAAAGAGGUAUUUAUGAUCAUCGUUUAUCAUAUUAGUUAACAGUCAAGAGGUUCUGGACUAUGUGGUUAUGCUUUUUUUUUCAGGUUCAUUUUGUGCUUUUGCGGAUGAUAUUUACAAUGUUUGGUUGAAAAAGUCAUGGCAGUUGCUCCCAAGUUAGCAUUUGUUUCGACUUCAGAUGUCUACCUUUAUCGAAAUUAUAUUUAGUUGUGCGAUCUCGUGAGGUCAAAGAUGAAGGCUAUGAAAUCAAACGUGAUGGUAAACUCAUCACCAUAUUCUCUGCUCCAAACUACUAUGACCAGAUGGGCAACAAGGGUGCUUUCAUCCGAUUUGAGGCCCCCACAAUGGAGCCCAAAAUUUUCACAUUUUCAGCAGUGCCACAUCCCGAUGUGAAGCCAAUGGCGUAUGCCUGCAAUUUCCUCUGCAUGUUCAAUUAGUGUUUGUUUGCUGACUUGGGUGAUACGAUUGCUGAAUAUGGUGGAUUUCGGUUUGGUUUCUCUAAUCUACAACUGCACAUAUCGCAUGAAACUCCCGAGACACGCGUGGUAUUACUUUCUUGCAACAGUUUACUUAUUUUUCAAUAGUUUCUUAUAUAACCGAAAGCCAAAAGCACACAGUGGCCUGAAUUAGGGGCCCGUUGUUUAUCGUCCACCAACUCUUGUACCGGCUAAAGUUGUCCUGUUGUUGCAUGAUCUCGCUCAACAAAUGCUUCAAACGGGCCAGCAACAACAAGUGUUUAUUAUUUACAGGUUCUGGACUGUAAUAUAGAAUUUUGGUUGGUCCUCACUUCCAGAUUAUCAAAAUGUCUUCUUUUAUUUGGUCCCCGGAUAAUGACCGAGGAAUCCAAACACCGACAUGAUCAAGAAAAAGAGGAACACAUAUUACAACAGAAUUGAAUAUUUAAACAUGUUUUGAUUUUAAAUAUAUAACAAAUCGAGUAAGAUGGCAGCAUGCCUAUCACCAUCAGUUCCAAAAUGUUGAUUUAUACUUGGCAAAAGCAUUGCAUUGAUCGUUAAUAUCAAUAUCGAUGUUAAUUCGUUCAA